rnacentral:tRNA from 1 species
GCCGGGGUGGCGGAAUUGGCAGACGCGCUACGUUCAGGGCGUAGUGGGAGUACUCCCGUGCGAGUUCGAGUCUCGCCCUCGGCA